rnacentral:rRNA from 1 species
CGGACGGGUGAGUAAUGUCUGGGAAACUGCCUGAUGGAGGGGGAUAACUACUGGAAACGGUAGCUAAUCCGCAUAACGUCGCAAGACCAAAGAGGGGGACCUUCGGGCCUCUUGCCAUCGGAUGUGCCCAGAUGGGAUUAGCUAGUAGGUGGGGUAACGGCUCACCUAGGCGACGAUCCCUAGCUGGUCUGAGAGGAUGACCAGCCACACUGGAACUGAGACACGGUCCAG